rnacentral:tRNA from 1 species
GGGCCGGUAGCUCAGCCUGGUAGAGCGCCGCCUUGGCGCGGCGGAGGUCCCGGGUUCAAGUCCCGGCCGGUCCACCA